rnacentral:rRNA from 1 species
AUUGAACGCUGGCGGCGUGCCUAACACAUGCAAGUCGCACGCGAAAGGGGGCAACCCCAAGUAGAGUGGCGGACGGGUGAGUAACGCGUAGGAAUCUACCUAGUAGUGGGGGACUACCUGGCGAAAGCCGGGCUAAUACCGCAUACGACCGAAGGGGGAAAGCAGGGGAUCGCAAGACCUUGCGCUACUAGAUGAGACUGCGUCCGAUUGGACGGUUGGUGAGGGAACGGCCCACCAGGGCGACGUUCGGUAACUGGUUUGAGAGAACGACCAGUCACAUUGGGACUGAGACACGGCCCAAACUCCUACGGGAGGCAGCAGUGGGGAAUAUUGGACAAUGGGGGCAACCCUGAUCCAGCGACGCCGCGUGUGUGAAGAAGGCCUUCGGGUUGUAAAGCACUUUCGGCAGGGACAAACAAGACGGAGCUAACAUCUCCGUUCCUGAUGGUACCUGAAGAAGAAGCACCGGCUAACUCUGUGCCAGCCGCCGCCGUAA